CGUGUUCACGCGCAUUACAUGACGACUAGCCACUGCAGCGAUAGAUAUAAACUAAAUCACAUUUCCAUAUAUCUUGACACAUGAUAACCAUCGUCGGGGAGCGCUUACUGGUGCUUCACGUGCAGUAUUGUGAUGUUCCAUCAACAGCGCUUGAGGACUUUUUGUUUUCGCAGUUUUCUGCAAUAAAGCCAGAACCCUAAAUCUUGCGCCGGAUGUAACGUUACGGAAUUUAAGAAAAGUAAUGUCGCAAGCCGAGCAUUGAACGAUAGACGGUAUUACUGAUACGUUCUGGAAUAUUACAACGAGCAAUGUAUAUUCUAUAUUUGCUGAAUAAUCACGGUGAAAGGUUGUUCGCAAUCAUCAAUUUCUGGUUUUCAAUCACAGAAAAACAUUUCGUUUGUCUAAGGAAAAGAAAAUUUAAAUAUUGAGACUUGGAAAAGGAUCUGCGGGGAUGAAAGGCAAUGGCCAAACAACUAUGACACCAUCUAUGAUGCUAAACAAUGUUAGCGAAAUUGCAGCAGUGGCUGGUAACAAACACCAAAGCAUUCAUGACCUCAUUUCGGCCGACAACCAUGCAGUCACGGAAGGAAUCAGUGUAUAUAUUAGGCAUUAAAUUUCGCUACAUAUCGCAUUUCCUAAGUAACGCUUCCUUUUCUCUUGCGAAUUGUACGACUUAAUUAGCCUAAAACACGAUACGUGUGUUCUAAAAUGACAUGUUUACAUCAUUCUUUCACCAGAGCCGGUAUUGCUUUCUAGAUCAAGGCGUACAAGCAUAUUGGAAUUUCCGGUUGUAAUGGCAGGACGCAUCACAGCAUUUCUUCUCAUGUGUGCCGUGUUCGCCUACGGCAUCAUAACCAUUGCAGCCAAUCAAGAUGCUACAGCACGAGGAAGUUCGGUUCCGGCGAGUGCUGCCAAUGAGGAUGCAAGAAUCGGAACAGCUGCGAUCCAAAGCUUGGCGGGUGGAGGCCUCGGCUGAAACUCACGUGAUUGGCUGCACCCAGAGAGCAGCGCGAGAGAACCGACUUUUGUCGCGUGCUCGCUUUAGUUUUUAGCGAGUGCAGUUUUCACCGCUCAAAUGGAAUAAAUGUCGCAACAUUA